rnacentral:rRNA from 1 species
GACGGACGCUGGCGGCGUGCCUAAUACAUGCAAGUUGAGCGCUGAAGGUUGGUACUUGUACCAACUGGAUGAGCAGCGAACGGGUGAGUAACGCGUGGGGAAUCUGCCUUUGAGCGGGGGACAACAUUUGGAAACGAAUGCUAAUACCGCAUAAAAACUUUAAACACAAGUUUUAAGUUUGAAAGAUGCAAUUGCAUCACUCAAAGAUGAUCCCGCGUUGUAUUAGCUAGUUGGUGAGGUAAAGGCUCACCAAGGCGAUGAUACAUAGCCGACCUGAGAGGGUGAUCGGCCACAUUGGGACUGAGACACGGCCCAAACGCCUACGGGAGGCAGCAGUAGGGAAUCUUCGGCAAUGGACGAAAGUCUGACCGAGCAACGCCGCGUGAGUGAAGAAGGUUUUCGGAUCGUAAAACUCUGUUGGUAGAGAAGAACGUUGGUGAGAGUGGAAAGCUCAUCAAGUGACGGUAACUACCCAGAAAGGGACGGCUAACUACGUG